UACGGGGGGAGCAAGCGUUGUUCGGAUUUACUGGGCGUAAAGGGCGCGUAGGCGGCCACCGCAAGUCGACUGUGAAAUCUCCGGGCUUAACCCGGAAAGGUCAGCCGAUACUGCGGGGCUAGAGUGCAGAAGGGGCAACUGGAAUUCUCGGUGUAGCGGUGAAAUGCGUAGAUAUCGAGAGGAACACCUGCGGCGAAGGCGGGUUGCUGGGCUGACACUGACGCUGAGGCACGAAAGCGUGGGUAGCGAACAGG
rnacentral:rRNA from 1 species